UACGUAGGGUGCGAGCGUUGUCCGGAAUUAUUGGGCGUAAAGAGCUCGUAGGCGGUGUGUCACGUCGAUCGUGAAAACUUUCAGCUUAACUGGGAGCUUGCGGUCGAUACGGGCAUCACUGGAGUUCGGCAGGGGAGACUGGAAUUCAAGGUGUAGCGGUGAAAUGCGCAGAUAUCAGGAGGAACACCGGUGGCGAAGGCGGUUCUCUGGGCAUUACCUGACGCUGAGGAGCGAAAGUGUGGGGAGCGAACAGG
rnacentral:rRNA from 1 species